CCUACGGGGGGCUGCAGUGGGGAAUAUUGGACAAUGGGGGCAACCCUGAUCCAGCCAUGCCGCGUGUGUGAAGAAGGCCCUCGGGUUGUAAAGCACUUUCAGUGAGGAAGAACGCCUGGUGGUUAAUACCCAUCAGGAAAGACAUCACUCACAGAAGAAGCACCGGCUAACUCCGUGCCAGCAGCCGCGGUAAUACGGAGGGUGCGAGCGUUAAUCGGAAUUACUGGGCGUAAAGCGCGCGUAGGUGGCUUGAUAAGCCGGUUGUGAAAGCCCCGGGCUCAACCUGGGAACGGCAUCCGGAACUGUCAAGCUAGAGUGCAAGAGAGGACGGUAGAAUUCCCGGUGUAGCGGUGAAAUGCGUAGAGAUCGGGAGGAAUACCAGUGGCGAAGGCGGCCUUCUGGACUGACACUGACACUGAGGUGCGAAAGCGUGGGUAGCAAACAGGAUUAGAUACCCCAGUAGUC
rnacentral:rRNA from 1 species